CCUGGCGGCGAUAGCGCGGUGGUCCCACCUGACCCCAUGCCGAACUCAGAAGUGAAACGCCGUAGCGCCGAUGGUAGUGUGGGGUC
rnacentral:rRNA from 1 species